rnacentral:pre_miRNA from 1 species
CUGUGGUGAGGUAGUAAGUUGUGUUGUUGUGGGGGUGGGAGAUUACAGCCCCUAAACUGGAGGUACAACUAUACAACUUACUGCCUUCCACAA